CAAGCGGUGGAGCAUGUGGUUUAAUUCGAUGCAACGCGAAGAACCUUACCUACUCUUGACAUCCAGCGAACUUGGCAGAGAUGCUUUGGUGCCUUCGGGAACGCUGAGGCAGGUGCUGCAUGGCUGUCGUCAGCUCGUGUUGUGAAAUGUUGGGUUAAGUCCCGCAACGAGCGCAACCCUUAUCCUUUGUUGCCAGCGAUACGGUCGGGGACUCAAAGGAGACUGCCGGUGAUAAACCGGAGGAAGGUGGGGAUGACGUCAAGUCAUCAUGGCCCUUACGAGUAGGGCUACACACGUGCUACAAUGGCGCAUACAAAGAGAAGCGACCUCGCGAGAGCAAGCGGACCUCAGAAAGUGCGUCGUAGUCCGGAUCGGAGUCUGCAACUCGACUCCGUGAAGUCGGAAUCGCUAGUAAUCGUGGAUCAGAAUGCCACGGUGAAUACGUUCCCGGGCCUUGUACACACC
rnacentral:rRNA from 1 species